rnacentral:rRNA from 1 species
UACGUAGGGUGCAAGCGUUAAUCGGAAUUACUGGGCGUAAAGCGUGCGCAGGCGGUUUUGUAAGUCUGUCGUGAAAGCCCCGGGCUCAACCUGGGAAUGGCGAUGGAUACUGGCGAGCUAGAGUGCGGUAGAGGAGAGUGGAAUUCCCGGUGUAGCAGUGAAAUGCGUAGAGAUCGGGAGGAACAUCAGUUGCGAAGGCGGCUCUCUGGACCAGCACUGACACUGAGGGACGAAAGCUAGGGGAGCGAAUGGG